UAACUCAAUGUUUUUCAAAACCUAUAUCAAAAUUUUGAAAAUGUUAUGUUCUGAAAAUUUGAAAACUAGACAACAGAAUUGAAAUUAUUUAAACAUUUUUAAAGAUCAUAUUCAAUACGUUUUAGAAAAUAGAUCAACAAUUUGAGACCAAAAUGUUUUAACAUUUUGCAAAAAAACUCUUCAAUCCUUUGAUAGAAGAGUUUUUAAUUAAUAUGAACAAAAUAUUGAAAUAGUGUAUUCAAAGUACCAAACUAGGAUAUUUAAAAUAUUUAACUAGCACAUUAACAAAAAAUUGAAAAAUCGGAAAAAUAAAUAUCUCGAUACCAAGAUCACAUUUUGUGGAAUUGAUUUUAAAACAUCAAUAUUCAAAUAGAUUCAAAAAGAAAUUUAGAGAUACAUUCAUUUACAUUUUCCAACCUUAACAAACCUCUCACUACCCAACCCAACUCGUCCAACGAUCUUAUUUAUCACAACUUCCCAAGGUGACAAUAGAUGCACAUGCCACA
rnacentral:lncRNA from 1 species